rnacentral:tRNA from 1 species
GCACUGCUGGUGUAGUGGUAUCAUGCAAGAUUCCCAUUCUUGCGACCCCUUGCGACCCGGGUUCGAUUCCCGGGCAGUGCA